rnacentral:rRNA from 1 species
UUGAACGCUGGCGGCAUGCCUUACACAUGCAAGUCGAACGGUAACGGGCCUUCGGGUGCCGACGAGUGGCGAGCGGGUGAGUAAUACAUCGGAACGUGCCCGAUCGUGGGGGAUAACGAGGCGAAAGCUUUGCUAAUACCGCAUACGAUCUACGGAUGAAAGCAGGGGACCGCAAGGCCUUGCGCGGACGGAGCGGCCGAUGGCAGAUUAGGUAGUUGGUGGGAUAAAAGCUUACCAAGCCGACGAUCUGUAGCUGGUCUGAGAGGAUGAUCAGCCACACUGGGACUGAGACACGGCCCAGACUCCUACGGGAGGCAGCAGUGGGGAAUUUUGGACAAUGGGCGCAAGCCUGAUCCAGCCAUGCCGCGUGCAGGAUGAAGGCCUUCGGGUUGUAAACUGCUUUUGUACGGAACGAAAAGCCUUCUUUUAAUACAGGAGGGUCAUGACGGUACCGUAAGAAUAAGCACCGGCUAACUACGUG